rnacentral:rRNA from 1 species
AAUUAUUUAUUUGAUGGUCUCUUACUACAUGGAUAACCGUAGUAAUUCUAGAGCUAAUACAUGAGUAAAGACCCGACUCUUGCGGGGAGGGUUGUAUUUAUUAGAUUGAAAACCAAAGCGGGCUAUGCCCGGUUUCAUGGUGAGUCAUAGUAACUUUUCGGAUCGCAUGGCUUUAUGCCGGCGACAGUUCAUUUAAAAUUUUGCCCCAUCAACCUUCGGCGGGAGAGUAGCGGACCACCCUGG